rnacentral:rRNA from 1 species
CGUCAAAUCAUCAUGCCCCUAACGACCUGGGCUUCACACGUGCUACAAUGGGCGCAACAAAGAGAAACGAAGUCGCGAGGCGGAGUGGAUCUCAAAAAAGCGUCCUCAGUUCGGAUUGCGGGCUGCAACCCGCCCGCAUGAAGAUGGAGUUGCUAGUAAUCGCGGAUCAGCAUGCCGCGGUGAAUACGUUCCCGGGCCUU